rnacentral:rRNA from 1 species
UACGGAGGAUGCAAGCGUUAUCCGGAAUGAUUGGGCGUAAAGCGUCCGCAGGUGGCAGUUCAAGUCUGCUGUUAAAUACUAGGGCUUAACCCUGGAGCGGCAGUGGAAACUGAACAGCUAGAGUGCGGUAGAGGUAGAUGGAAUUCCCAGUGUAGCGGUGAAAUGCGUAGAGAUUGGGAAGAACACCGGUGGCGAAAGCGCUCUUCUGGGCCGAAACUGACGCUCAUGGACGAAAGCCAGGGGAGCGAAUGGG